rnacentral:misc_RNA from 1 species
UCCGGCUUAUCACCGGCAGUUUCUUUGGAGUGCUCAACUAAAUGGUAGCAACUAAAGACGAGGGUUGCGCUCGUUGCGGGACUUAACCCAACAUCUCACGACACGAGCUGACGACAGCCAUGCAGCACCUGUCUCCGGUCCAGCCGAACUGAAAGGCUCCAUCUCUGGUGCCUGCGACCGGGAUGUCAAAGGCUGGUAAGGUUCUGCGCGUUGCUUCGAAUUGAACCACAUGCUCCACCGCUUGUGCGGGCCCCCGUCAAUUCCUUUGAGUUUCAGCCUUGCGGCCGUACUCCCCAGGCGGAGUGCUUAUUGGGUUUCCUUCGGCACAGAGGGCUUGACGCCCCCAACACCUAGCACUCAUCGUUUACGGCGUGGACUAC